rnacentral:rRNA from 2 species
CGCUGUGGAACCACCCGAUCCCAUCCCGAACUCGGAAGUGAAACGCAGCUGCGCCGAUGGUAGUGUGGCUCAAGCCAUGCGAGAGUAGGUCAUCGCCAGGG